rnacentral:rRNA from 1 species
GAGUUUGAUCCUGGCUCAGAUUGAACGCUGGCGGCAUGCCUUACACAUGCAAGUCGAACGGCAGCAUGAUCUAGCUUGCUAGAUUGAUGGCGAGUGGCGAACGGGUGAGUAAUACAUCGGAACGUGCCCUGUAGUGGGGGAUAACUAGUCGAAAGAUUAGCUAAUACCGCAUACGACCUGAGGGUGAAAGUGGGGGACCGCAAGGCCUCAUGCUAUAGGAGCGGCCGAUGUCUGAUUAGCUAGUUGGUGAGGUAAAGGCUCACCAAGGCGACGAUCAGUAGCUGGUCUGAGAGGACGAUCAGCCACACUGGGACAGAGACACGGCCCAGACUCCUACGGGAGGCAGCAGUGGGGAAUUUUGGACAAUGGGCGAAAGCCUGAUCCAGCAAUGCCGCGUGUGUGAAGAAGGCCUUCGGGUUGUAAAGCACUUUUGUCCGGAAAGA